GUGCUUGCUUUGGCAACUCAUAUACUACAAUUGGAACAAUACAGAGAAGAUUAGUGUUGCCCCUGUGCAAGGAUGAUGCUCAAAUUCAUGAAGUGUAACAUAUUUUU
ensembl:snRNA U6 U6 spliceosomal RNA